GCAGUACGAACUGAGCAGGCGCGGGCGAUCCCGCAGCCGGGCCCGAGGGCAGUGGAUCCGAUCCGCAGGACAGUA
rnacentral:ncRNA from 1 species